rnacentral:lncRNA from 1 species
GGACAUGGUGGGUCCUCUGAGGCAAACUUGCAGAUUGCCCUUGGUCUUCCUUAGGACCAGUGAUCCACUAUGCUGAUGGGACAGAAGCUGAAAAUCUGCACAUCAUCGUGAUGAAGGAGAUCAAGAGACAGCUGAAUAGACUUCCUGAUGCUGGUGUGGGUGCCAUGGUGAUGCCACAGUCAAGAAAGGCAAAUCAGAACUCAGAAGGAAGGUAUAUGCAGAAGUUCAAGUGCAGAAGUGGUCAUUUGACAACAAAAGUGAUAACAGAUAAUUUAAUUUGAAGAUAACAUAGUCAUAGUCAUAGUAAAAAAAAAAAAAAAAAUAAAGAUGAGAUGAAAGGCUCUGCCAUCACAGGACCAGGUGCAAAGGACUGUACAGACUUGUGGCCUAGGACUGCAUCCCACGCUGACAAUAUU